AUGGGCGAAAGCCUGACGGAGCAACGCCGCGUGAAUGAAGAAGUCCUUCGGGAUGUAAAGUUCUUUCAGCAGGGACGAGUCGAAGACGGUACCUGCAGAAGAAGCAUCGGCUAACUACGUGCCAGCAGCCGCGGUAAUACGUAGGAUGCAAGCGUUGUCCGGAAUUAUUGGGCGUAAAGCGUACGUAGGCGGUUUGUUAAGUCAGGGGUUAAAGACUGAGGCUCAACCUCAGGAGUGCCCUUGAUACUGGCAGGCUGGAGGACGGCAGAGGAAAGUGGAAUUCCCAGUGUAGCGGUGAAAUGCGUAGAUAUUGGGAGGAACACCAGUGGCGAAAGCGACUUUCUGGGCCGUUCCUGACGCUGAGGUACGAAAGCGUGGGGAGCAAACAGGAUUAGAUACCCUGGUAGUCCACGCCGUAAACGAUGGAUACUAGGUGUAGAGGGUAUCGACCCCCUCUGUGCCGUAGCUAACGCGUUAAGUAUCCCGCCUG
rnacentral:rRNA from 1 species